rnacentral:rRNA from 1 species
UACGUAGGCAGCGAGCGUUGUUCGGAGUUACUGGGCGUAAAGGGCUCGUAGGCGGCCAACUAAGUCGGAUGUGAAAUCCCCAGGCUUAACCUGGGAACUGCAUCCGAUACUGGAUGGCUUGAAUCCGGGAGAGGGAUGCAGAAUUCCAGGUGUAGCGGUGAAAUGCGUAGAUAUCUGGAGGAAUACCGGUGGCGAAGGCGGCAUCCUGGACCGGCAUUGACGCUGAUGAGCGAAAGCUAGGGGAGCAAACGGG